rnacentral:lncRNA from 1 species
UGAUUCUGGUUCUCUCGUCUUGUGUAGUACGCUCCCUGCUUUAUCGAACAGACAGAAUAAAUAGUGUAACAGUUAGCACCAGUGUAAUAUAAAGCUUUGACAUCGACAGAAAUGCCGCCUCAGCAUUUCUCUUGUAAUAGUUGGUCUUUUCCAUCCACUUGGCUUUUAUCAGUGUGCAGUGAUAGUGAUUAUGAUUUGCUGUAAAACCUUCCGAACCGAGGAGUGUCUUCUGCAACAUCCAUUUCAUUUGUUUUUUUUUUGGUGUAUGCGACUUCCAUUCAAUUUCCCUCUGUUCACAAAUAUAAGAUGUUCUGGAUAUUUCAAUAUGGACUAUAUACAUACUGAAAUGGGUGAAAUAAACACACUAAAGCAUGUCUAUAAUGGUUGAUGGUAUAAUAGCAAUAUCGAGGGACAUCUACAUGGAACAUUAUGAGCGGGUGAUGUCCUUCUCUCAUGACUCAUGAUCCAUGAAUGCACAGAGAGGUUUCAGAGUGGAAGUUGCGGUCCUACUCCUACCUUGCUUCACAAUCGGAGAAACAUACUUUGCUAUCUUCCGAACGAAGGUCCGUUUUUAAUUCUGACAGCUCUAUUUCCCGACUCUUAUAUUUCUGCGCCUGGUGAUACAAAGGAACGGAUGAUGGCCAUUUAAGGGAGAGUGAGACUGGCAAGGAUGUCACCCAAACUGAGAAAGUUGACACUCCCUCCGAUUUAUAAUAAGUGUCGUGGUUUUAGUUCAAAUUUGAAGCCAUGGUCAUAUUUGAACAAGAGUAUGCGGUAUCGGGCCUUGUCGUUGUUUGCGGCGUCAUUGCCAUGGUGCCGUCGGCGGAGCUUCGACAAGGCUGAAAGGGCCAUGGCCCGCCCUAGGUUGGAGCAAUUCUUUUUACAUGAAGUCCAACCCACAAUAAUGCAUGGAAAAGGCUAUCGCUCAACCGACGGAUCUAGCGCGGGCGUCCGCCGCCUCCUUUGAUCAACACGUGGCCUACCUUCGACGAGCUCGCAGCGAACGAUGGUGGUGUUUUUGUUUUGCAACAUACUCUGUUGUAAGAAAUAUUUCUGCAACAUCAGUCAUGUUACAUAAGUUUCUUUCAUAACACCAUAUAGAAGUGAAGACAAAGAAAAAAAAUUCUGCAACAUCAUCUCAGUUGCAAAGCUUUUCUGCAACAAUACCUUUGUUGCAAAAAAAAGUGAAGAUGGAAAAAAAAUUGCAACACGACCUAUGUUGCAAAAAAUAAAUCCCGCAACACGAUCGAUGCUGGAAAAAAAAUCAGCAACACAAUUUUUGUUACAAGAGUUUCCGUAACAAGACCAUUGUUGCAAAGAAGAGAAAGACAUCCAGCCACUCGAUUUUGUCUUAACUACCGACUCGCGAGGCGGCGGAUCUUUUAAAAAGAUCCGCCGACCGACACGUAAAAGCCCCUAUAAUGCAUUGAUUUUUCUAAUUUGAUAGCACUUUUUGUACUAUCCGGCCCAUCCAACGUUUAGCUCUGCCACUGCAUGGUGCUGCCAAGGCCUAUGUUGAAGAUGGAUGAUACCCUGUUUAUCUUCUCUGACUCCAUUGUUGUGAGUAGUAGCAGCGGGUAGGGUCACUCACAUAGCCUAUAUAUAAUAGGAAAAAUAUAAUUAAAAUAUAAUAAGUUGAGAACUAUACAAACAAAUAAAUCCAUGAACCAGAUCCACGGUUGGAUAAUCUCGUGGCCAUUAUGAUGGAUCCACUACUGGUUGAGAGGUAGUGCAUCAGAUCUUACCAAUACGUGACAACCCACAUUGACGAUGAUUCUAUUACAUGUAACACGCCAUUUGUGAGGUCCACAAAGUUGAUGUUCUGCGAUGAUGCCUCCUCAAAGCUUUGGGCUGAUGGAUUUGCAUCAUUCCCCUCAAGCGUCGGUGGCUUUUGAGUGGCGUUCGAUGACAAGCACAUGGACUUUGAAGGGUUUCAAUAUAACUUUUUGUAGGGGCGAUUUUUCGUCUUACGCCACAAUAAUAGUCUAUUUUAAAACUUUGCAAUAACAAAUUUUAUUUUUUCUUACACAAGGCAUAGCCUAGUGGUGGAAGGGGGCUGAUGCCUUCCCACCCACCCAAAUUCAAGGUAUGAUACUUGUAAUCUGGGUUGUUGCAUCAAUUAUACUGUAGGGGCCUCCCUUACGAUCUUUCUAUCAAUAAAUAAAUAAAUAACAAAGUCAAAUUUUUAGUGAUAUAUGGCGCAUUUGGUGAAUUGGAGAAGGAUGCAGGAACAUGCAUGGUUGUCCGGACUCAGUUGCGGAUCUUGUUCUUGCGUCUUGUAAAUACAUGCCAAGAUGUGACGACCCCCUUGAAGCUGAACUCAUGACGGUGAAGGAAGGUGUGCUCUAUGCACGCAAGUAUGUUGUAGGUCCGUUUAUCCUCCACACAGACUGUUCCAAUGUGAUAAAAUUGUUGAAGGAUACAAAGCCAGAUAGGUCUUGGCUACGUCAUCUCGUACAAGUGUUGAAAUACUCGGUCUUUGAAGAGCGGAAGAUGAUUCUCAUGAAGGUUGAUAGAAGUCAAAAUAAGGUUGCAGAUUUCCUGGCUAAAUUUUCGCGCUCGGAGCAUAUAACCGUGGUUACACGAUGCCCCGAGAAUCUCCUAAGCCUUUUGGCUAUGGACUGUAAACCUAUUCGUUUAUCAACAAAACUGCCAGUGUUUGAUAGAAAAUGAUUGACUCCUGAUGAUCCUUGCUGACAAUUCCUCUAACUCUAGAAGCAUGAUUAUUCUUUUGAUUUAGAAAUUCCGACUGUUAAGGAGCGAUAUUACCCCUUGGCCAAAAAAGGAGUGAUAUUACCCGCAAUAAAGAUGCUACACGACGAAUUGGCAGUUCCUCAAUAACGCUUAGAAAAUACUCAUAUGAGGAGAUAAUUAGGAGGAAGAUGUCGAUGUUUGAUAUUGUUGCAAUACCUAUGCAUCCUAUUGUCACCCGAGUACAUAGUGGCCAUCAUCGUCGUGUGACAAGACCUAUUUAUCUUUUGAUGAUCCUUUUCGUCGUCCGACAGAACAACGACAACAUGUAUGAUCUUGAGAAGGCAUGACGGGAAUGUCUUCUUCGUCACUUUCAGGUUCUUAUUCCAUUGCAACGAUGCACUUGAGGCAGAGAUCCAUGAUUUAAUCCAAGGCAGCGUUUGUAAUCCACCAUACAGAUCUUUUGGUUAUUAUUCAACCAGACACGUCGUGAGCUCUUUCGGUCCUCACUUCAGAUUCUCUCGACCGUUCUGCUUACGGUCAUUUGACUUUGAAGAUUAAAGCCCUUUUGGUUAAUAGGGGUUUGAUAAGAUAUAGUCUCCACUCGCAAAAAAAAGAAAAGGAAGACGAGAUAUAGUUCCAUGUAUCGAGGAACUCUUGCCUCUUGAUUGUAACUCUAAAAUUAUGGAACAAAAUGUCUUUCUCUUGGCAAAAAAAGGAAAAAGAAAGUCAAUGCACAUAUUUUUAUUUUAGGUAAAAAACAACACGAAUAGAAGAGACCAACGAGGCACCGAAUGAACCAAACCAACCACCUCUUUUCCACGGCGGCCCCACCCCUCUCCCCCUCCAGCCAGUCUCCGUCCUUCUAGAAGGCCGCCGGAGUAGACGCACUCCGGCCACUCCCCCUUUCAGAUCCCGCCGCCGCGCUCCACCGAAUGAUCAAGAAGUGAUCCUAAAGCUACUUACGUUCAAGCAUAACACGAGACCGUGUUCUCUUCCCGGACUCCGCCGAAAAGAGACCAUCACGGCUACACACACGGUUGAUUCAUUUUAAUUAAGUUAAGUGUCAAGUUUUCUACAACCGGAUAUUAACAAAUUCCCAUCUGCCCAUAACCGCGGGCACGGCUUUUGAAAGUUCAAAACCCUGUAGGGGUGUCCCAACUUAGCCCAUCACAAGCUCUGACGGUCAACAAAGAAUAUUCCUUCUCCCAGGAAGACCCAAUCAGACUCGGAAUCCCGGUUACAAGACAUUCCGACAAUGGUAAAACAAGACCAGCAAGACCGCCCGAUGCGCCGACAUCCUGAUAGGAGCUGCACAUAUCUCGUUCUCAUGGCAACACCGGAUGAACACUACGUACAGCUAAAACCAGCCCUCAAGUUUCCCCGAGGUGGCGCCGCAAGUGGCUUUGGUUCGNNNNNNNNNNNNNNNNNNNNNNNNNNNNNNNNNNNNNNNNNNNNNNNNNNNNNNNNNNNNNNNNNNNNNNNNNNNNNNNNNNNNNNNNNNNNNNNNNNNNNNNNNNNNNNNNNNNNNNNNNNNNNNNNNNNNNNNNNNNNNNNNNNNNNNNNNNNNNNNNNNNNNNNNNNNNNNNNNNNNNNNNNNNNNNNNNNNNNNNNNNNNNNNNNNNNNNNNNNNNNNNNNNNNNNNNNNNNNNNNNNNNNNNNNNNNNNNNNNNNNNNNNNNNNNNNNNNNNNNNNNNNNNNNNNNNNNNNNNNNNNGGGAAGAUGAUAGGUUGUUAGGAAAAUGUAAAACCAAGGUUGGGCCUUGCUGGAGGAGUUUUAUUCAAAGCGAAUUGUCAAGGGGUUACCAUAACACCCAACCGUGUAAGGAACGCAAAAUCAAGGAACAUACACACCGGUAUGACAGAAACUAGGGCGGCAAGAGUGAAACAAAACACCAGGCAUAAGGCCGAGCCUUCCAUCCUUUACCAAGUAUAUAGAUGCAUUAAAGUAAACAAUAUAUGUAAUAAUGAUAUCCCAACAAUAUCCAUGUUCCAACAUGAAACAAACUUCAUCUUCACCUGCAACUAGCAACGCUAUAAGAGGGGCUGAGCAAAGCGGUAACAUAGCCAAACAAUGGUUUGCUAGGAAAGGUGGGUUAGAGGCUUGACAUGGCAAUAUGGGAGGUGUUGGAAAUAUGCCCUAGAGGCAAUAAUAAAAGAAUUAUUAUUAUAUUUCCUUGUUCAUGAUAAUUGUCUAUUAUUCAUGCUAUAAUUUUAUUAUCCGGAAAUCGUAAUACAUGUGUGAAUACAUAGACCACAAUGUGUCCCUAGUGAGCCUCUAGUUGACUAGCUCGUUGAUCAACAGAUAGUCAUGGUUUCCUGGCUAUGGACAUGGGGAUGUCAUUGAUAACGGGAUCACAUCAUUAGGAGAAUGAUGUGAUGGACAAGACCCAAUCCUAAACAUAGCACAAGAUCGUAUAGUUCGUUUGCUAGAGUUUUUCCAAUGUCAAGUAUCUUUUCCUUAGACCAUGAGAUCGUGUAACUCCCGGAUACCGUAGGAGUGCUUUGGGUGUACCAAACGUCACAACGUAACUGGGUGACUAUAAAGGUAUACUGCGGGUAUCUCUGAAAGUGUCUGUUGGGUUGACACGGAUCAAGACUGGGAUUUGUCACUCCGUAUGACAGAGAGAUAUCUCUGGGCCCACUCGAUAAUGCAUCAUCACAAUGAGCUCAAAGUGACCAAGUGUCUGGUCACGGGAUCAUGCAUUACGGUACGAGUAAAGUGACUUGCCGGUAACAAGAUUGAAUGAGGUAUUGGGAUACCGACGAUCGAAUCUCGGGUAAGUAACGUACCGAUUGACAAAGGGAAUUGUAUACGGGGUUGCUUGAAUCCUCGACAUCGUGGUUUAUCCGAUGAGAUCAUCGAGGAGCAUGUGGGAGCCAACAUGGGUAUCCAGAUCCCGCUGUUGGUUAUUGACCGGAGAGCCAUCUCGGUCAUGUCUACAUGUCUCCCGAACCCGUAGGGUCUACACACUUAAGGUUCGGUGACGCUAGGGUUGUAGAGAUAUGAAUAUGCAGUAACCCGAAAGUUGUUUGGAGUCCCGGAUGAGAUCCUGGACGUCACGAGGAGUUCCGGAAUGGUCCGGAGGUGAAGAAUUAUAUAUAGGAAGUGCAGUUUCGGCCAUCGGGAGAGUUUCGGGGGUCACCGAUAUUGUACCGGGACCACCGGAAGGGUCCCGGGGGUCCACCGGGUGGGGCCACCCAUCCCGGAGGGCCCCAUGGGCCAAAGUGGGGAGGGGAACCAGCCCAUAGUGGGCUGGUGCACCCCCCUUGGCCCACCCCAUGCGCCUAGGGUUGGGAACCCUAGGGUGGGGGGGCGCCCCACUUGGCUUGGGGGGCACUCCACCCCUUGGCCGCCGCCCCCCCUAGGAGAUCCCAUCUCCUAGGGCCGGCGCACCCUCUAGGGGGCCUAUAUAAAGGGGGGGAGGGAGGGGGCAGCCGCACCCUUGAGUCUUGGCGCCUUCCUCUCCCCUGCAACACCUCUCCCUCUCGUAGUAGAACGGCGAAGCCCUGCUCCGGUGACCCCUGCAUCCACCACCAUGCCAUCGUGCUGCUGGAUCUUCAUCAACCUCUCCUUCCCCCUUGCUGGAUCAAGAAGGAGGAGACGCCACGCUGACCGUACGUGUGUUGAACGCGGAGGUGCCGUCCGUUCGGCGCUAGGAUCUCCGGUGAUUUGGAUCACGUCGAGUACGACUUCCUCAUCCCCGUUCUUUGAACGCUUCCGCGCGUGAUCUACAAAGGUAUGUAGAUGCAAUCCGAUCACUCGUUGCUAGAUGAACUCAUAGAUGGAUCUUGGUGAAACCGUAGAAUUUUUUUUGUUUUCUGCAACGUUCCCCAACAGUGGUAUCAGAGCUAGGUCUAUGCGUAGUUCUCUUUGCACGAGUAGAACACAAUUUAUUGUGGGCGUAGAUGUUGUCAACUUUCUUGCCGCUACUAGUCUUAUUUUGCUUCAGCGGUAUUGUGGGAUGAAGCGGCCCGGACCGACCUUACACGUACGCUUACGUGAGACUGGUUCCACCGACUGACAUGCACUAGUUGCAUAAGGUGGCUAGCAGGUGUCUGUCUCUCCCACUUUAGUUAGAGCGGAUUCGAUGAAAAGGGUCCUUAUGAAGGGUAAAUAGAAGUUGACAAAUCACGUUGUGGCUUUCACGUAGGUAAGAAAACGUUCUUGCUAGAACCCUUUUGCAGCCACGUAAAACUUGCAACAACAAUUAGAGGACGUCUAACUUGUUUUUGCAGCAAGUGCUUUGUGAUGUGAUAUGGCCAAAGUUGUGAUGAAUGAUGAAUGAUAUAUAUGUGAUGUAUGAGAUCAUGUUCUUGUAAUAGGAAUCACGACUUGCAUGUCGAUGAGUAUGACAACCGGCAGGAGCCAUAGGAGUUGUCUUUAUUUUUUGUAUGACCUGCGUGUCAUUGAGAAACGCCAUGUAAAUUACUUUACUUUAUUGCUAAACGUGUUAGCCAUAGUAGUAGAAGUAAUAGUUGGCGAGCAACUUCAUGGAGACACGAUGAUGGAGAUCAUGAUGAUGGAGAUCAUGGUGUCAUGCCGGUGACAAGAUGAUCAUGGAGCCCCAAGAUGGAGAUCAAAGGAGCUAUGUGAUAUUGGCCAUAUCAUGUCACUAUUAUUAUUUGAUUGCAUGUGAUGUUUAUCAUGUUUUUGCAUCUUGUUUACUUAGAACGAUGGUAGUAAAUAAGAUGAUCCCUCAUAAUAAUUUCAAGAAAGUGUUUCCCCUAACUGUGCACCAUUGCGACAGUUCGUUGUUUCGAAGCACCACGUGAUGAUCGGGUGUGAUAGAUUUCAACAUUCACAUACAACGGGUGUAAGACAGAUUUACACAUGCAAACACUUAGGUUGACUUGACGGGCCUAGCAUGUACAGACAUGGCCUCGGAACACAGAAGACCGAAAGGUCGAGCAUGAGUCGUAUAGAAGAUACGAUCAACAUGAAGAUGUUCACCGAUGUUGACUAGUCCGUCUCACGUGAUGAUCGGACACGGCCUAGUUAACUCGGAUCAUGUUAUACUUAGAUGACGGGAGGGAUGUCUAUCUGAGUGGGAGUUCAUUAUAUAAUUUGAUUAGAUAAACUUAAUUAUCAUGAACUUAGUCUAAAAUCUUUACAAUAUGUCUUGUAGAUCAAAUGGCCCACGUUGUCCUCAACUUCAACGCGUUCCUAGAGAAAAUCAAGCUGAAAGACGAUGGCAGCAAUUAUACGGACUGGGUCCGGAACCUGAGGAUCAUCCUCAUAGCUGCCAAGAAAGAUUAUGUCCUAGAAGCACCGCUAGGUGAUGCACCCAUCCCACAGAACCAAGACGUUAUGAACGCUUGGCAGACACGUGCUGAUGACUACUCCCUCAUUCAGUGCGGCAUGCUUUACAGCUUAGAACCGGGGCUCCAAAAGCGUUUUGAGAGACACAGAGCAUAUGAGAUGUUCGAAGAGCCGAAAAUGGUUUUUCAAGCUCAUGCCCGGGUCGAGAGAUAUGAAGUCUCCAACAAGUUCUUCAGCUGUAAGAUGGAGGAAAAUAGUUCUAUCAGUGAGCACAUACUCACUAUGUCUGGAUUACAUAACCGCUUAACUCAGCUAGGAGUUAAUCUCCCGGAUGAUGCGGUCAUUGACAGAAUCCUUCAGUCGCUUCCACCGAGCUACAAGAGCUUUGUGAUGAACUUCAAUAUGCAGGGGAUGGAAAAGACCAUACCUGAGGUAUUUUCAAUGCUGAAAUCAGCAGAGGUAGAAGUCAAAAAGGAACAUCAAGUGUUGAUGGUCAAUAAAACCAUCAAGUUCAAGAAAGGCAAGGGUAAAAAGAACUUCAAGAAGGACGGCAAGGGAGUUGCGGCGCCCGGUAAGCAAGCUGCCGGGAAGAAGCCAAAGAAUGGACCCAAGCCCGAGACUGAGUGCUUUUAUUGCAAGGGAAGUGGUCACUGGAAGCGGAACUGCCCCAAAUACUUAGCGGACAAGAAGGCCGGCAACACAAAAGGUAUAUGUGAUAUACAUGUAAUUGAUGUGUACCUUACCAGUAUUCGUAGUAGCUCCUGGGUAUUUGAUACCGGUGCGGUUGCUCACAUUUGUAACUCAAAGCAGGAGCUGCGGAAUAAACGGAGACUGGCGAAGAACGAGGUGACGAUGCGCGUCGGGAAUGGUUCCAAGGUCGAUGUGAUUGCCGUCGGCACGCUACCUCUACAUUUACCCACGGGAUUAGUUUUAAACCUCAAUAAUUGUUAUUUAGUACCAGCUUUGAGCAUGAACAUUGUAUCAGGAUCUCGUUUAAUUCGAGAUGGCUACUCAUUUAAAUCCGAGAAUAAUGGUUGUUCUAUUUAUAUGAGAGAUAUGUUUUAUGGUCACGCUCCUAUGGUGAAUGGUUUAUUCUUAAUGAAUCUCGAGCGUAAUGCUACACAUAUUCAUAGUGUGAAUACCAAAAGAUGUAAGGUUGAUAAUGAUAGUCCCAUAUACUUGUGGCACUGCCGCCUUGGUCACAUAGGUGUCAAACGCAUGAAGAAGCUUCAUGCAUAUGGACUUUUAGAGUCUCUUGAUUACGAAUCAUUUGACACGUGCGAACCAUGCCUCAUGGGUACGAUGACCAAGACUCCGUUCUCAGGAACAAUGGAGCAAGCAACCAACCUAUUGGAAAUCAUACAUACUGAUGUGUGCGGUCCAAUGAGUGUUGAGGCUCGUGGUGGCUAUUGUUAUGUUCUCACCCUCACUGAUGACUUGAGUAGAUAUGGGUAUGUCUACUUAAUGAAACACAAGUCUGAAACCUUUGAAAAGUUCAAGGAAUUUCAGAGUGAGGUUGAAAAUCAACGUGACAGAAAAAUCAAGUUUUUACGAUCAGAUCAUGGAGGAGAAUACUUGAGUCACGAAUUUGGCACACACUUAAGAAAAUGUGGAAUAGUUUCACAACUCACGCCGCCUGGAACACCUCAGCGUAAUGGUGUGUCCGAACGUCGUAAUCGCACUCUAUUAGAUAUUGUGCGAUCUAUGAUGUCUCUUACCGAUUUACCGCUGUCAUUUUGGGGCUAUGCUUUAGAGACUGCCGCAUUCGCUUUAAAUAGGGCUCCGUCGAAAUCCGUUGAGACGACAGCGUAUGAAUUAUGGUUUGGGAAGAAGCCUAAGCUGUCGUUUCUAAAAGUUUGGGGAUGCGAUGCUUAUGUCAAGAAACUUCAACCUGAAAAGCUCGAACCCAAGUCGGAAAAAUGCGUCUUCAUAGGAUACCCUAAAGAAACUAUUGGGUAUACCUUCUACCUCAGAUCCGAAGGCAAGAUCUUUGUUGCCAAGAAUGGAUCCUUUCUAGAGAAAGAGUUUCUCUCGAAAGAAGUAAGUGGGAGGAAAGUAGAGCUUGAUGAAGUACUGCCUCUUGAAGCAGAGAGUAGCGCAGCUCAGGAAAAUGUUCCUGUGGUGCCUGCACCAAUUAGAGAGGAAGUUAAUGAUGAUGAUCAAGAUAUUUCUGAUCAAGCUCCUACUGAACUUCGAAGGUCCACAAGGACACGUUCCGCACCAGAGUGGUACGGCAACCCUGUCUUGGAAAUCAUGUUGUUAGACAAUGGUGAACCUUCGAACUAUGAAGAAGCGAUGGCGGGCCCGGAUUCCGACAAAUGGCUGGAAGCCAUGAAAUCCGAGAUAGGAUCCAUGUAUGAAAACGAAGUAUGGACUUUGACUGACUUGCCCGAUGAUCGGCGAGCCAUAGAAAAUAAAUGGAUCUUUAAGAAGAAGACAGACGCGGAUGGUAAUGUGACCAUCUAUAAAGCUAGGCUUGUCGCUAAGGGUUAUCGACAAGUUCAAGGGGUUGACUACGAUGAGACAUUCUCUCCCGUGGCAAAGCUGAAGUCCGUCCGAAUCAUGUUAGCAAUUGCCGCAUACUAUGAUUAUGAGAUAUGUCAAAUGGACGUCAAAACGGCAUUCCUUAACGGUUAUCUUAAAGAAGAACUAUAUAUGAUGCAGCCGGAAGGUUUUGUCGAUCCUAAGAAUGCUGACAAGGUGUGCAAGCUCCAAUGCUCGAUUUAUGGGCUGGUGCAAGCAUCUCAGAGUUGGAACAUUCGCUUUGAUGAGAUGAUCAAAGCGUUUGGGUUUAUGUAGACUUAUGGAGAAGCCUGCGUUUACAAGAAAGUGAGUGGGAGCUGUGUAGCAUUUCUCAUAUUAUAUGUAGAUGACAUACUUUUGAUGGGAAAUGAUAUAGAACUUUUGGACAGCAUUAAGGCCUACUUGAAUAAGAGUUUUUCAAUGAAGGACCUUGGAGAAGCUGCUUAUAUAUUAGGCAUCAAGAUCUAUAGAGAUAGAUCAAGACGCCUCAUAGGUCUUUCACAAAGCACAUACCUUGAUAAGAUAUUUAAGAAGUUCAAUAUGGAUCAGUCUAAGAAGGGGUUCUUGCCUGUGUUGCAAGGUGUGAAAUUGAGCUCAGCUCAAUGUCCGACCACAGCAGAAGAUAUAGAAGAGAUGAGUGUCAUCCCCUAUGCCUCAGCCAUAGGUUCUAUUAUGUAUGCCAUGUUGUGUACCAGACCUGAUGUAAACCUUGCCGUAAGUUUGGUAGGUAGGUACCAAAGUAAUCCCGGCAAGGAACGCUGGACAGCGGUCAAGAAUAUCCUGAAGUACCUAAAAAGGACUAAGGAAAUGUUUCUCGUUUAUGGAGGUGACGAAGAGCUUGUCGUAAAGGGUUACGUCGACGCUAGCUUCGACACAGAUCUGGAUGACUCUAAGUCACAAAUCGGAUACGUGUAUAUUUUGAAUGGUGGGGUAGUAAGCUGGUGCAGUUGCAAGCAAAGCGUUGUGGCGGGAUCUACAUGUGAAGCGGAGUACAUGGCAGCCUCGGAGGCAGCACAUGAAGCAGUCUGGGUGAAGGAGUUCAUUACCGACCUAGGAGUCAUACCCAAUGCGUCGGGCCCGAUGACUCUCUUCUGUGACAACACUGGAGCUAUUGCCCUUGCCAAGGAGCCCGGGUUUCACAGGAAGACCAGGCAUAUCAAGCGUCGCUUCAACUCCAUUCGUGAAAUUGUUCAAAAUGGAGACAUAGAGAUUUGUAAAGUACAUACGGACCUGAAUGUAGCAGAUCCGUUGACUAAACCUCUCCCUAGAGCAAAACAUGAUCAACACCAGAAUUCCAUGGGUGUUCGAUUCAUCACAAUGUAACUAGAUUAUUGACUCUAGUGCAAGUGAGAGACUCCUGGAAAUAUGCCCUAGAGGCAAUAAUAAAAGGAUUAUUAUUAUAUUUCCUUGUUCAUGAUAAUUGUCUAUUAUUCAUGCUAUAAUUUUAUUAUCCGGAAAUCGUAAUACAUGUGUGAAUACAUAGACCACAAUGUGUCCCUAGUGAGCCUCUAGUUGACUAGCUCGUUGAUCAACAGAUAGUCAUGGUUUCCUGGCUAUGGACAUGGGGAUGUCAUUGAUAACGGGAUCACAUCAUUAGGAGAAUGAUGUGAUGGACAAGACCCAAUCCUGAACAUAGCACAAGAUCGUAUAGUUCGUUUGCUAGAGUUUUUCCAAUGUCAAGUAUCUUUUUCUUAGACCAUGAGAUCGUGUAACUCCCAAAUACCGUAGGAGUGCUUUGGGUGUACCAAACGUCACAACGUAACUGGGUGACUAUAAAGGUAUACUGCGGGUAUCUCCGAAAGUGUCUGUUGGGUUGACACGGAUCAAGACUAGGAUUUGUCACUCCGUAUGACGAAGAGGUAUCUCUGGGCCCACUCGGUAAUGCAUCAUCACAAUGAGCUCAAAGUGACCAAGUGUCUGGUCACAGGAUCAUGCAUUAUGGUACGAGUAAAGUGACUUGCCGGUAACGAGAUUGAACGAGGUAUUGGGAUACCGACGAUCGAAUCUCGGGCAAGUAACGUACCGAUUGACAAAGGAAAUUGUAUACGGGGUUACUUGAAUCCUCGACAUUGUGGUUCAUCCGAUGAGAUCAUCGAGGAGCAUGUGGGAACCAACAUGGGUAUCCAGAUCCCGCUGUUGGUUAUUGACCGGAGAGCCAUCUAGGUCAUGUCUACAUGUCUCCCGAACCCGUAGGGUCUACACACUUAAGGUUCGGUGACACUAGGGUUGUAGAGAUAUGAAUAUGCAGUAACCCGAGAGUUGUUCAGAGUCCCGGAUGAGAUCCUGGACGUCAUGAGGAGUUCCGGAAUGGUCCGGAGGUGAAGAAUUAUAUAUAGGAAGUGCAGUUUCGGCCAUCGGGAGAGUUUCGGGGGUCACCGGUAUUGUACCGGGACCACCGGAAGGGUCCCGGAGGUCCAUCGGGUGGGGCCACCCAUCCCGGAGGCCCCAUGGGCCAAAGUGGGGAGGGGAACCAGCCCAUAGUGGGCUGGUGCACCCCCCUUGGCCCACCCCAUGCGCCUAGGGUUGGGAACCCUAGGGUGGGGGGCGCCCCACCUGGCUUGGGGGGCACUCCACCCCUUGCCCACCGCCCCCCCUAGGAGAUCCCAUCUCCUAGGACCGGCGCACCCCCUAGGGGGCCUAUAUAAAGGGGGGGGGGGAGGGAGGGGGCAGCCGCACCCUUGAGUCUUGGCGCCUCCCUCUCCCCUGCAACACCUCUCCCUCUCGUAGUAGAACAGCGAAGCCCUGCUGCGGUGACCCCUGCAUCCACCACCACACCGUCAUGCUGCUGGAUCUUCAUCAACCUCUCCUUCCCCCUUGCUGGAUCAAGAAGGAGACGUCACGCUGACCGUACAUGUGUUGAACGCAAAGGUGCCGUCCGUUCGGCGCUAGGAUCUCCGGUGAUUUGGAUCACGUCGAGUACGACUUCCUCAUCCCCGUUCUUUGAACGCUUCCGCGCGUGAUCUACAAAGAUAUGUAGAUGCAAUCCGAUCACUCGUUGCUAGAUGAACUCAUAGAUGGAUCUUGGUGAAACCCUAGAAUUUUUUUUGUUUUCUGCAACGUUCCCCAAUAGGAGGCAUGAUAUAGCUAGUGGUAGGUAUCGCGGCAUAGCAAUUGACAAAGCACCACAUUCGUUUAUUUAGUUCACUCCCGAUUAUGUACUCAACAAUAUUAAAUGUUGUUAACAUGGCAAGAGGUGAGUCAUGAGUAAAACAUCUAUCUAAACAAGUUUAAAUGAGGCCGGAACAAGCAACGAUUUCGAUAAAUCCCCAUAUGCAUUUAGCAAUUUAAGCAAACAACACUUGUAACCAUUUUAAAUAUUUUUAUCAUGAUGUGGAUGACAUGUGCCAGUUUAUGCAAGUUUUAUGAAAAUGUUGAUAAGAGCAUUAUAUGAAGCAUUAGUCAGCGUGGCGGAAAUGAAAGGGGUGCCACGACAACGAAUCCGAAAAUGGUGCCACGGCAACAUAUCGGUUCCGGUAGCUCACAGGAAUACCGGUGCAAAAGGAAGUGGGUGUGAGUGUGUCAUGCAAGAUGAUGGGGUGCUCCCGGAUACAUGUUCCCACAUGACGGUGGCAAGGAAACGAGUGACGAUGUGCGACGAACAAAACGGGCACGGUGCAAACACGGGCAUCUCGUACAACACACAUGCAAUCGUUCCACAGCGUCGUUUCGGGGUUAUACCUUCGAGGCGUGACUUUUCGGAACGGAUCAAGUUCGUAGUGGAAGUAGACGUUCUCGCGACGGUAGUCGUUCACGUUCUUAGUCGCACAAGUUUUCGUAGAUGUUCAGGGUUAUGGCGAGAAACUUGACUUCCACGGAGUCUUCGAGGGUCGACGGUAGUGGUACUUGGCAAAAUGCACGUCGAGGGUAGUUGUUCUCGUAUCGACGUGGUACUUGGCGAUUUCGGAGACGACGGAUGACGAACUUGGCGGUCCUCGCAGAACUAGUACUUGGCGUUAGUGAUACACGUUUCAAAAGUUGUUCACGACGAUGAUAGUCGAAACUUGGUGAUCCGAAGGGGUACUUGGCGAAUAACGGCCGUUGUGGUACUUGGUGAAAUCUUGGGAGAUGAACUUGAUGCAUCAAACGUCUUCGGUGCGACGGUACUUGUGAGGUUAGACGUACUUUCGAAGAGGAAACUUGUCACGUCCCAGAAUGAGCAAGGCAAAAGCCUCGUUCCGCGGUGCUCAAACUUGACGAAAACCACGAACGGGUCUUGGCGUAUCCUGGUCUUGGAGAGGUCUCCGGAAAAGAACUUGGCGUCCAAGGGGACAUGGAGCCGCGGUCUUGGCGUCGAGCAGGGGUCGAAGCCCAACGAGGGGCGAGGUGGACGCUGUUGUUCCUGCCAGGAGGCGAAGCAAGGCGAUGACGAUCUUGAGGCGGCGCUGUGAGGACGGCGACGAGGCGGACUAGUCCGGCGAAGCAGGAGGAUUGCGGAGGUGCACGGGACAGCGACGGUGAGGUAGGGGAUGGACUGCUGCUGCAGAGAACUUGGCGUAGGGACGAGGGCCUGCCGGACUCGACGAGGAGGUCGGGGUCGACGCUGACACGGCGAGAGGCGUCGGGCUUCGCAGGAGAAGGAGGUACCGGGCAGCGCGCGGCCACGGAGGAGAGGGAGGACGCGGCGGCCAGAGGAGUUGAUGGCGACGGGCGGUGCAGGAUGGCAGCAGGAGGACGGCGGCGGCAUCCAUGGCCUUGACGAGGGACCGAGCACGAGGCUCCUGCGGCGGAGGCGACGAACGGGCGGCGGCCGUUGCCAGAGGCGGGGAGGCCAGCGCGCUGGUGGAACGCGAGAUGGAAGGCGCCAGGAGGAAGGAGGGGAUCUGCCAGGCGCUGGUGUGAGGGCUCCUGCGGGAGGAGGACGAGGGGCCGAGCGGGACUCCUUCCUGGUGCGGUUGGGUGGCGCUGCAGAGGGAAAGAGAGGAGGAGAUGGGAUCGGGACGAAGGAGGGAGAUGGCGGCGGCGUGGGAGGACGAGAGGAAGAGGGUGAGGGGAUCGGGUCAGGGGAGAUGGUUAGGUUAGGAUUAGGUGGGCCUAAAGGGCCGGCCUAGCAUAGGUUGUAGCUGGGCUGGGCUCUCUCUCACUCUAAAGAACAAAAAAAACAGAGAUAUGGAAGAAAAAGAAAGAGAGGUUAGGGGAAAAAGUUGGACAUGUGGAUAAUUUCCCUGGACUCAUAAAAAUAUGAGGAAUUUAAAUAAAAUGGCGAAAGGAAUUUUAGAGAGAAUAAAUUUCACACAAAGGAACAUGUUUGAAUUUUUGAAGCCCAUUUGAAAAGACUCUAAACGGGCUGAGAUUUGAGAAGAUGAUCCCACACAUUAGAUGUGAUUUAUGGGCAAAUUUGGGACAUUUAUGGAUGAAGUAAAAUUGCAACUCAAUCUACUAAAAGGCCCCAAAGGAAGAAAUGAAGUUGAGUUGGAUGAAAGAAAUUUUAAGAACGGUGCAAAUGUGUUAUGGGUGAUUCCAAGACAAUGAAAUGGUUUUAUAUAGCUCCCUAAAUAUUGGGAGGAUAUGUUAUAAAGAGAAACACCAUGUGAAUUCCCUCAAUUUAAAUAGAUCGAAAGAUCUAUGCAAUUUUAUUUAGUUGAGUUGAAGUGCGAAGAUUAAUGACAUGAUGGCAUGAUGACAUGAUGCAAUGCACAUUAUGACAUGGCAAGAUGCGACGCGCAAGCAAAAACAAAACACACAACGAAUCUCGGAAACCCCGAAGGCAUCUGAAGCUCUGGUCUUGAGGCGUCACACGAUAUUACCCCUUGGUCAAAAAAGGAGUGAUAUUACCCGCAAUAAAGAUGCUACACGACGAAUUGGCAGUUCCUUAAUAACGCUUAGAAAAUACUCAUAUGAACAGAAAUGGCCGGUUUUCAGUUCGCUUAGCUUAUCAUAAACUAUGGGAGGAUACUUAUAUCAAGGAGGAGGAGAGGAAUACAUAUCAGAGUGGAUCUAACCCGCAUCCAGUUUGGAAAAGAAUUUGGCAACUGAAACUACCAGCUAAAAUUAAGAUUUUCAGUUGGAGAUGCUUACACAAUACAAUCCUGUGUUACAGUGUGCUCGCAAAUCGUCAUAUCGGCAGUAGGUCGCAUUGUCCACACUGCACUGAAGGAGCAGAAGAUGCUCGUCAUGCGUUGUUCACUUGUAACAGAGCUCGGGAAAUCUGGACAGCGAUGGGACUUGAUAACCUGGUCUCAGGAGCUAGUACCAAUCGAACGGGUGCAGGUACACUUGAGUUUCUACUUUGUGAUGAUGAACAUCAGGGUACAUAUACGGAGGGAAUUCCUGUUCCCGAAAUUGUAGCGGCGUCUUGCUGGUAUAUAUGGUGGCAGCGCAGACAAUUUGUUCGCGGAGAAACAAUCCAGAAUCCUCAGCGGACGACAAUGGCGAUCCAAGCUGUAACUUUAAAUUUUGUUCGUGCUGCUGGGAAAAUAGGGAGCUCUAGUAGAAUGAACCGGUGGUUCUCGCCAACCAGCAGGUUUUGAAUGUGGAUGCGUCAUUUUAUGUGGGCGAAAAUUCAGGAGGAUGUGGGGCCAUAGUCCGAGAUAAUCGCGGGAAUUUCAUUGGAGCAACCACGGCAAAACUGACUCAUGUAGCUGAUGUGGUGUGCGCAGACGCUGCUGCACUCAGAGAAGGCCUCAAAUUCCUCCAAAGUAUGGGAUGUAAUAAUGUGAUAGUAAGGAGUGACAAUAUCAUUGUUAUACUCCCUCCGUUCCAAAAUAGAUGACCCAACUUUAUACUAAGGUCAGUACAAAGUUGGGUCAUCUAUUUUGGAACGGAGGGAGUAGAUGCCAUGAAGGAGAAUGAUGGCCAAGGCAUGGUGGCGGCACCUGUACUAGAGGAAUGUAGGACACUUUUGCAAGAUUUUGGGAGAGUUUUCAUAGAGCAUUGUAACCGUGAGUCAAAUAUUGUUGCUCAUGAGCUAGCUAGGUGGGGGAGCGCAAACAACCCGUCUGUGUGGGUUGAUGCACCACCGAGUUUUAUUGUAAACUUUCUUCUGGACGAUGUAGCGGUCAUUAAUAAAUAAAACUAGCCAUGAAGGCCUUCCCGUCAAAAAUAAUAAUAAUAGAAAAUACUCAUACGAGGAGAUAAUUAAGAGGAAGAUGCUGAUGUUUGAUAUUGUUGCAAUACCUGUGCAUCCUAUUGUCACUCGAGUACAUCGUGGCCACCAUCGUCGUGUGACAAGAUCUGUUUCUCUUUUGAUGUUCCUUUUCGUCGUCCGACAGAACAACGACAACAUGUAUGAUCUUGAAAAGGCAUGACGGGAAUGUUUUCUUCGUCACUUUCAGGUUCUUAUUCCAUUGCAACGAUGCACCUGGGGCGGAGAUUCAUAAUUUAAUCCAGCAUGUUUGCAAUCCAGCAUACAGAUCUUUUGGUUAUUAUUCGAUCAGACACGUCGUGAGCUCUUUUGGUCCUCACUUCAGAUUCUCUCGACCGUUCUGCUUACAGUCAUUUGGCUUUGGAGAUUAAAGCCCUGUUGGUUGGUAGGGGUUUGAUAAGAUAUAAUCUCUACUCGCGAAAAAAGAAAAGAAAGACAAGAUAUAUGCUCCCACCGUUCCUAAAUAUAAGUCUUUUUUUUGAUAACCCUAAAUAUAAGUCUUUUUAGACAUUCCAACGAACUACAUAUGGAGCAAAACGAGUAAAUCUAUACUCUAAAAUAUAUCUACAUACAUCCGUAUGUUGUAUUCCAUUUAAAAUGUCUAAAAAAACUUAUAUUUAGGAAUGGAAGGAGUAAUUCUCAUGUACCGAGGAAAUCUUUGCCUCUUGAUUGUAACUCUAAAAUUAUGGAAUAAAAUCCCUUUCUCCUCGCAAAAAAAGGAAAAAGAAAGUCAAUGCACAAAGUUUUAUUUUACAGUUUGACUAAUUCACAUCUAGAUGUUUUUUAAGGAUGUCACAUCUAAGUUCCUACAAAUAUAUAAUGCAGCAACAAAAAAAAAA